AACGGCAGCAUGAUCUAGCUUGCUAGAUUGAUGGCGAGUGGCGAACGGGUGAGUAAUACAUCGGAACGUGCCCUGUAGUGGGGGAUAACUAGUCGAAAGAUUAGCUAAUACCGCAUACGACCUGAGGGUGAAAGUGGGGGACCGCAAGGCCUCAUGCUAUAGGAGCGGCCGAUGUCUGAUUAGCUAGUUGGUGAGGUAAAGGCUCACCAAGGCGACGAUCAGUAGCUGGUCUGAGAGGACGAUCAGCCACACUGGGACUGAGACACGGCCCAGACUCCUACGGGAGGCAGCAGUGGGGAAUUUUGGACAAUGGGCGAAAGCCUGAUCCAGCAAUGCCGCGUGUGUGAAGAAGGCCUUCGGGUUGUAAAGCACUUUUGUCCGGAAAGAAAUGGCUCUGGUUAAUACCUGGGGUCGAUGACGGUACCGGAAGAAUAAGGACCGGCUAACUACGUGCCAGCAGCCGCGGUAAUACGUAGGGUCCAAGCGUUAAUCGGAAUUACUGGGCGUAAAGCGUGCGCAGGCGGUUGUGCAAGACCGAUGUGAAAUCCCCGAGCUUAACUUGGGAAUUGCAUUGGUGACUGCACGGCUAGAGUGUGUCA
rnacentral:rRNA from 1 species